rnacentral:rRNA from 1 species
GGCUCCCCGUUUUAUUUAAUCUAUGGGGAGUCGAACCUGCCCAGUGAAAUUUUAACGGCCGCGGUACUCUGACCGUGCAAAGGUAGCAUAAUCAUUUGCCUUAUAAUUGAAGGCUUGUAUGAAUGGUUUGACGAAAGCAGAUCUGUCUCCUUUUUAUUUUCUAGAACUUGACUUUCAGGUGAAGAGGCCUGAGUAAGAUUGAAGGACAAGAAGACCCUGUCGAGCUUAAAAGAAUAAAUGGAAGUUUAUAUAAAUUCUAGAUAAAUAACCCAUUGAGCUUUUUAGUUGGGGCGACUAAGGAACAAAAAAAGCUUCUUGAACAUAAAAAACCCACAAGUUUAGAUCCAACUGUAGUUUGAUCAGAGAAAUUAGUUACCGCAGGGAUAACAGCAUAAUCUCUCUUGAGAGACCUAAUCGAAAGAGGGGGUUGUGACCUCGAUGUUGGACUAGAAUAUCCUAAAGAUGCAGAAGUCUUUAAGGGUUGGUCUGUUCGACCAUUAAAAUUCUACGUGAUCUGA